UACGUAGGGUGCGAGCGUUGUCCGGAAUUAUUGGGCGUAAAGAGCUCGUAGGCGGCUUGUCGCGUCGGAUUUGAAAGCCCGGGGCUUAACCCCGGGUCUGCAUUCGAUACGGGCAGGCUAGAGUUCGGUAGGGGAGAUCGGAAUUCCUGGUGUAGCGGUGAAAUGCGCAGAUAUCAGGAGGAACACCGGUGGCGAAGGCGGAUCUCUGGGCCGAUACUGACGCUGAGGAGCGAAAGCGUGGGGAGCGAACAGG
rnacentral:rRNA from 1 species